GGCAGUGGUUGCUCAUUGGUCAAGAUGUUAGACUACUGAUUGGAAGAUCAUGAGUUCAAACCCCAACACUGCCA